UGGGGAAUUUUGGACAAUGGGCGAAAGCCUGAUCCAGCAAUGCCGCGUGUGUGAAGAAGGCCUUCGGGUUGUAAAGCACUUUUGUCCGGAAAGAAAUCCUUGGCUCUAAUACAGUCGGGGGAUGACGGUACCGGAAGAAUAAGCACCGGCUAACUACGUGCCAGCAGCCGCGGUAAUACGUAGGGUGCAAGCGUUAAUCGGAAUUACUGGGCGUAAAGCGUGCGCAGGCGGUUUGCUAAGACCGAUGUGAAAUCCCCGGGCUCAACCUGGGAACUGCAUUGGUGACUGGCAGGCUAGAGUAUGGCAGAGGGGGGUAGAAUUCCACGUGUAGCAGUGAAAUGCGUAGAGAUGUGGAGGAAUACCGAUGGCGAAGGCAGCCCCCUGGGCCAAUACUGACGCUCAUGCACGAAAGCGUGGGGGAGCAAACAGGAUUAGAUACCCUGGUAGUCCACGCCCUAAAACGAUGUCAACUAGUUGUUGGGGAUUCAUUUCCUUAGUAACGUAGCUAACGCGUGAAGUUGACCGCCUGGGGAGUACGGUCGCAAGAUUAAAACUUAAAGGAAUUGACGGGGUCAUAGCUGUUUCCU
rnacentral:rRNA from 1 species